AUUGAACGCUGGCGGCAGGCCUAACACAUGCAAGUCGGGCGGUAACAGGAAUCAGCUUGCUGAUUCGCUGACGAGCGGCGGACGGGUGAGUAAUGUCUGGGAAACUGCCUGAUGGAGGGGGAUAACUACUGGAAACGGUAGCUAAUACCGCAUAACGUCUUCGGACCAAAGUGGGGGACCUUCGGGCCUCAUGCCAUCAGAUGUGCCCAGAUGGGAUUAGCUAGUAGGUGGGGUAACGGCUCACCUAGGCGACGAUCCCUAGCUGGUCUGAGAGGAUGACCAGCCACACUGGAACUGAGACACGGUCCAGACUCCUACGGGAGGCAGCAGUGGGGAAUAUUGCACAAUGGGCGCAAGCCUGAUGCAGCCAUGCCGCGUGUAUGAAGAAGGCCUUCGGGUUGUAAAGUACUUUCAGCGGGGAGGAAGGUGUUGUGGCUAAUAACCACGGCAAUUGACGUUACCCGCAGAAGAAGCACCGGCUAACUCCGUGCCAGCCGCCGCAGUAAGAC
rnacentral:rRNA from 1 species